AACAUCUAAGUACCCCGAGGAAAAGAAAUCAACCGAGAUUCCCCCAGUAGCGGCGAGCGAACGGGGAGGAGCCCAGAGCCUGAAUCAGUGUGUGUGUUAGUGGAAGCGUCUGGAAAGGCGCGCGAUACAGGGUGACAGCCCCGUACACAAAAAUGCACACAUUGUGAGCUCGAUGAGUAGGGCGGGACACGUGGUAUCCUGUCUGAAUAUGGGGGGACCAUCCUCCAAGGCUAAAUACUCCUGACUGACCGAUAGUGAACCAGUACCGUGAGGGAAAGGCGAAAAGAACCCCGGCGAGGGGAGUGAAAAAGAACCUGAAACCGUGUACGUACAAGCAGUGGGAGCCUCUUAAUGGGGUGACUGCGUACCUUUUGUAUAAUGGGUCAGCGACUUAUAUUCUGUAGCAAGGUUAACCGAAUAGGGGAGCCGAAGGGAAACCGAGUCUUAACUGGGCGUUAAGUUGCAGGGUAUAGACCCGAAACCCGGUGAUCUAGCCAUGGGCAGGUUGAAGGUUGGGUAACACUAACUGGAGGACCGAACCGACUAAUGUUGAAAAAUUAGCGGAUGACUUGUGGCUGGGGGUGAAAGGCCAAUCAAACCGGGAGAUAGCUGGUUCUCCCCGAAAGCUAUUUAGGUAGCGCCUCGUGAAUUCAUCUCCGGGGGUAGAGCACUGUUUCGGCAAGGGGGUCAUCCCGACUUACCAACCCGAUGCAAACUGCGAAUACCGGAGAAUGUUAUCACGGGAGACACACGGCGGGUGCUAACGUCCGUCGUGAAGAGGGAAACAACCCAGACCGCCAGCUAAGGUCCCAAAGUCAUGGUUAAGUGGGAAACGAUGUGGGAAGGCCCAGACAGCCAGGAUGUUGGCUUAGAAGCAGCCAUCAUUUAAAGAAAGCGUAAUAGCUCACUGGUCGAGUCGGCCUGCGCGGAAGAUGUAACGGGGCUAAACCAUGCACCGAAGCUGCGGCAGCGACACUAUGUGUUGUUGGGUAGGGGAGCGUUCUGUAAGCCUGUGAAGGUGGCCUGUGAGGGUUGCUGGAGGUAUCAGAAGUGCGAAUGCUGACAUAAGUAACGAUAAAGCGGGUGAAAAGCCCGCUCGCCGGAAGACCAAGGGUUCCUGUCCAACGUUAAUCGGGGCAGGGUGAGUCGACCCCUAAGGCGAGGCCGAAAGGCGUAGUCGAUGGGAAACAGGUUAAUAUUCCUGUACUUGGUGUUACUGCGAAGGGGGGACGGAGAAGGCUAUGUUGGCCGGGCGACGGUUGUCCCGGUUUAAGCGUGUAGGCUGGUUUUCCAGGCAAAUCCGGAAAACC
rnacentral:rRNA from 1 species